AUUGAACGCUGGCGGAAUGCUUUACACAUGCAAGUCGAACGGCAGCACGGACUUCGGUCUGGUGGCGAGUGGCGAACGGGUGAGUAAUGUAUCGGAACGUGCCCAGUCGUGGGGGAUAACGUGGUGAAAAUUACGCUAAUACUGCAUACGAUCUAUGGAUGAAAGCGGGGGAUCGCAAGACCUCGCGCGAUUGGAGCGGCCGAUAUCAGAUUAGGUAGUUGGUGGGGUAAAGGCCCACCAAGCCAACGAUCUGUAGCUGGUCUGAGAGGACGACCAGCCACACUGGAACUGAGACACGGUCCAGACUCCUACGGGAGGCAGCAGUGGGGAAUUUUGGACAAUGGGCGAAAGCCUGAUCCAGCCAUUCCGCGUGCGGGAUGAAGGCCCUCGGGUUGUAAACUGCUUUUGUACAGAACGAAAAGGUUUCUACUAAUACUAGGAGCUCAUGACGGUACUGUAAGAAUAAGCACCGGCUAACUACGUGCCAGCCGCCGCGGUAA
rnacentral:rRNA from 1 species